rnacentral:rRNA from 1 species
UACGAAGGGGGCUAGCGUUGCUCGGAAUUACUGGGCGUAAAGCGCACGUAGGCGGCUCUUUAAGUCGGGGGUGAAAUCCUGGAGCUCAACUCCAGAACUGCCUUCGAUACUGAAGAGCUCGAGUCCGGGAGAGGUGAGUGGAACUGCGAGUGUAGAGGUGAAAUUCGUAGAUAUUUGCAAGAACACCAGUGGCGAAGGCGGCUCACUGGCCCGGUACUGACGCUGAGGUGCGAAAGCGUGGGGAGCAAACAGG